GAUGAAGAACGCAGCGAAAUGCGAUAAGUAGUGUGAAUUGCAGAAUUCAGUGAAUCAUCGAAUCUUUGAACGCACAUUGCGCCCUUUGGUAUUCCUUAGGGCAUGCCUGUUCGAGCGUCAUUUAAACCUUCAAGCUAAGCUUGGUGUUGGGUGACUGUCCGCCUCACGGCGGACUCGCCUCAAAAUUAUUGGCGGCCGGUACAUUGGCUUCGAGCGCAGCAGAAACGCGAACUCGGGCCCGUCGUAUUGGCUCCCAGAAGCUAUCUUCACAAUUUUGACCUCGGAUCAGGUAGGAUACCCGCUGAACUUAAGCAUAUCAAUAAGCGGAGGA
rnacentral:misc_RNA from 1 species